rnacentral:rRNA from 1 species
GACGUAGGGUGCGAGCGUUGUCCGGAUUUAUUGGGCGUAAAGAGCUCGUAGGCGGCUCGUCGCGUCGACCGUGAAAACCCGCGGCUUAACCGCGGGCUUGCGGUUGAUACGGGCGGGCUAGAGUUCGGUAGGGGAGACUGGAAUUCCUGGUGUAGCGGUGAAAUGCGCAGAUAUCAGGAGGAACACCGGUGGCGAAGGCGGGUCUCUGGGCCGAUACUGACGCUGAGGAGCGAAAGCGUGGGGAGCGAACAGG